ensembl:lncRNA SOX2-OT SOX2 overlapping transcript
UUUUUUUUUUUUUUUUUUUUUUUUUUUUUGCCUGACGCCACUGUGCUGUUGCGUCUUGCGCAGCGCAGACACCUCCACUCUGGAUUGAAACGAAAAAGCUCGCGAUCCAACUUAGAAAUAAUGUUUCAUUCAAGAUAAGGCUCGUGGCUUAGGAGAUUGUGACCUGGCUUGCAUCAUUCUAAGACUUCUAUCGUCUGUUUUCAAAACCCAAGGAGGACCUCCUUUUCUGUGUGAUAGUUCCUCAUGCUUUGCCAGCCACUGGGUCUUUAAGGAAGCUUGCCAAGAGUUCCCGGCUGGGAAGGACAGUUCGAGUUCAUCAUAGACAAUGAGCUGGCACCACAGUUUAAGUGACUCACCAACCUGGUUGCCCACUUCAAAAUGUCAAGAACCACACUAUCUAAUUGAAAGAACUGUGUUUUAGCAAAGUGUAAUUGGAUCGCCUGGCAAGAUCAUCUCAAACUAUGUCUCUGACCUUGCCUUUCAGUGGCUAUUUUGAGCACAAGAGGAGAAAGGAAAUGAUUCCUGAAUUAUAUCUUGUUUUUAAAAAUUAAGAUUAAUUAAUACUUGGUUUUAUGUUCAUUCCAUUGUAGGAACUUAGUGAUUAUUACAAAACAGUCAAAAUAGGUCAUAGCAAAAUGAACGUUUAAGAUUAGGUUAAAACAUUCCUCUGAAAUUUUAGUAUUCACUUUUGAAGUGUCAAUUACUAUAUUUCUGUAAUUUCUCAUUUUUUUCUUGGCUUAGAGUCAAGAUGAAAAAUGAUAUUUGAAUCAAAGACAUUGUUUUGUUAUAUAGCCACUCCUUUCUAAAAUGCAAAUCCACCCUCCCCUCACCAAUGCUUUAUUCUUUGUGCGCGCACACACACACACACACACACACACACACACACACACACACAGACAUACACAGAACCAGCACCCAAAUGGUAGAGGAGGUCCUUCCAAGACUUCUAGGACCUGGAUCAUGUAAGCAGUAGAUGAGAAAAUGAAGUAAGAGAUAUAGAGUAAUAACAAUAAAAGUCAAUGAUUUCAUUUUACAAAAAAGUCAUUGUGUAGUACUCAGAUAUUUUUAAGAGCAAGUAUUAUUAUGACUAAAGUAUAUUAUACUUCUAAAUUAUUAUGAUUCUCAUCUAAUUUCAAGCCACACAUAGGCGCCAUUUGAAAGCAUUUUGUGUUACAACCUAUCAACAAAAAUCAACUAAUAGUUUUAUAACGUGCAUAGGUUUACCCCAUGGGGAAUUAAAAUUUUUAUCUGCAAGUAUUUCUGUUGUUGUGAGACUUUAGGACAAGACAACAUUUGGUGUUAACAUAGAAGAAUAUUCUAUGGCUUUUUUAGCUUUAAAGUUCAUUACUCUAAAAUAAAGUACACGUGGUAUUUUUUUCUUCCUAGUGUUCUCUUAUUAUAUGUAGAGUAUUUUCGGUUGUUGUUUUUAACGUAUACAUUAUUUUUAUUAAGUCAUUUCAUAAAAGAUAAGAUAUAUACUAAUAGACCCUUGGUUUUCUCCUAAUUUAAUUAUUUCAAGUCAAGCAAAAUUGGGCAAUUUUCUUUCAGGAAAAAAAAAAUAUUGAGCAUGAUUUUGAGGUAAAACUGAUUAUUUACAGCAUCUUUUCUCUAAUAGGCUAACAUUUAUGAUGGAUCUUAUUUCAAAGUUGAUUAUUCUCAAAGAAAAGUGGAGAUAUUAGAAUUUCCGAGUAAAUUGCAUUGUUUUAAAAAGUACUUUAAUGCAUUGUUCACAUUGUUGCCAGCUAUUGACCAAAAAAGAGAAGAAGAAAAAAGAAAUAAAAAAAGCAGUAUCUGCUCCAAACGUCAAGUUUUGCAGUUUGAAAGACUUGUACAUUAUAAUUGUUUUUUUCUUUUUUGGAAAGCAGUAGUAAUUAAUACCAAAGGCAUAGACAAUUUAGGGCCAUAACCUCCCUUCCCCCCUCUCCACCUUUUUUUUUUUUUUUUUUUUUUUUUAACUUUAACCAUGAUAGGCAUCUCUGCAAGGUAGGUUUUAACAUAUUUUUUUCCUAAUUUUUUUCCCUCCAUUCAGUAAGAAGGAUAAGCUUUUAGAGUACCCAGUCACCGUGGUAACUGCCAAAAAAAUUCUCCUGAAGUUUGAAGAGGUCAGCUAGCAGGGUCAACAACCCUGGCCUCUCUCUGAGCUCGGUCUAGCAUGCCCCAGCCUGCGGUUGGAGUGUCAGGCCAGAUCUGACCCUGGGAGGUGGACCAUUCUGGCUCUGAUAUAAAUUUUUCGAGUCAGUUCAUGGCCUGGACUCUCCAGGUGGCCUCCAAAAUCGAUUUUGACCCCCUGACCCUGUCUCACGGAGGCAUAGCAUCCACCCUAAGUAAGGAUUUAGCCAGGAAUGACAGCUUUCCACUGAGUGUUAUUGGGGACAGUAUAAACAGUUUGGAAAGCAAGUAAGGAGGUGUGAGGGCUAGCAAUCAUUAAAAGCACAUUAAAAAACAAUUUUUAAAAAUCUUUAUUAGAGAAAGUUGUAAAUGCAUAUCUGUUACAGAAUUCCUGUGAUUUGUAGAGUUUUCUAGUCAGUUUUGAAUAUAAAUAGGUCACAUAUCUUUAUCUUUUUGCAUACUUUGUUACAAAUAUGCAAAUAAGAUAGGCAUACUUGCUACAAAAUAGGUACAGCAGGAAUGUAAUAUGUUCAGAAAAGGCAAACUGGUUAUUAAAACACAUUAACAGGUAAGGAGUUUCUAAUAUUUUAAAUACUAAAAUUUUACAUGUGUAUUUUGAAGUUUUUAAAAUGGAAAAAUAAAGAACCUUUAAAAAACCCAACAGUGUGGAAUAAAGAUAAACUUGUUGCACUCAAGGUACAUUUCUACUUUGUAAAGCAAGAAGCCAAUACACUCAGUUGGAUAAAAAUGAGAGAAAAAUUGUAAAUAUAGAGAGUUACAGCUUAUAGAGCUGAAGAGGAAUAAAACAAAAAAAAGUGUCUCUGAAUAACUUUAUGUAUUUUCAACAGUUUAAGAUAUCAGAAACUUGGAAAAUAAAUAUGAUAUAUAUAUAAAUCA